rnacentral:rRNA from 1 species
GACGAACGCCGGCGGCGUGCUUAACACAUGCAAGUCGAGCGGAAAGGCCCUUCGGGGUACUCGAGCGGCGAACGGGUGAGUAACACGUGAGUAACCUGCCCUGGACUUUGGGAUAACCCUCGGAAACGGGGGCUAAUACCGGAUAUGACCAUCGAAUGCAUGUUCUGGUGGUGGAAAGUUUUUUCGGUUUGGGAUGGGCUCGCGGACUAUCAGCUUGUUGGUGGGGGUGAUGGCCUACCAAGGCGACGACGGUAGCCGGCCUGAGAGGGCGACCGGCCACACUGGGACUGAGACACGGCCCAGACUCCUACGGGAGGCAGCAGUGGGGAAUAUUGCACAAUGGGCGGAAGCCUGAUGCAGCGACGCCGCGUGAGGGAUGACGG